rnacentral:rRNA from 1 species
GACGAACGCUGGCGGCGUGCUUAACACAUGCAAGUCGAACGGUAAGGCCCUUCGGGGUACACGAGUGGCGAACGGGUGAGUAACACGUGGGUGAUCUGCCCUGCACUUCGGGAUAAGCCUGGGAAACUGGGUCUAAUACCGGAUAGGACUCCGGACUGCAUGGUCUGGGGUGGAAAGCUUUUGCGGUGUGGGAUGGGCCCGCGGCCUAUCAGCUUGUUGGUGGGGUGAUGGCCUACCAAGGCGACGACGGGUAGCCGGCCUGGGAGGGUGACCGGCAACACUGGGAGUGAGAUACAGCCCAGACUCCUCCGGGAGGCAGCAGUGGGGAAUAUUGCACAAUGGGCGCAAGCCUGAUGCAGCGACGCCGCGUGAGGGAUGACGGCCUUCGGGUUGUAAACCUCUUUCAGCAUCGACGAAGCGAAAGUGACGGUAGGUGCAGAAGAAGGACCGGCCAACUACGUGCCAGCCGCCGCAGUAA